rnacentral:rRNA from 1 species
GACGAACGCUGGCGGCGUGCCUAAUACAUGCAAGUUGAGCGCUGAAGGUUGGUACUUGUACCAACUGGAUGAGCAGCGAACGGGUGAGUAACGCGUGGGGAAUCUGCCUUUGAGCGGGGGACAACAUUUGGAAACGAAUGCUAAUACCGCAUAAAAACUUUAAACACAAGUUUUAAGUUUGAAAGAUGCAAUUGCAUCACUCAAAGAUGAUCCCGCGUUGUAUUAGCUAGUUGGUGAGGUAAAGGCUCACCAAGGCGAUGAUACAUAGCCGACCUGAGAGGGAGAUCGGCCACAUUGGGACUGAGACACGGCCCAAACUCCUACGGGAGGCAGCAGUAGGAAAUCUUCGGCAAUGGACGAAAGUCUGACCGAGCAACGCCGCGUGAGUGAAGAAGGUUUUCGGAUCGUAAAACUCUGUUGGUAGAGAAGAACGUUGGUGAGAGUGGAAAGCUCAUCAAGUGACGGUAACUACCCAGAAAGGGACGGCUAACUACGUG